rnacentral:rRNA from 1 species
UACGGGGGGGGCAAGCGUUGUUCGGAAUUACUGGGCGUAAAGGGCUCGUAGGUGGCCAACUAAGUCAGACGUGAAAUCCCUCGGCUUAACCGGGGAACUGCGUCUGAUACUGGAUGGCUUGAGUUCGGGAGAGGGAUGCGGAAUUCCAGGUGUAGCGGUGAAAUGCGCAGAUAUCAGGAGGAACACCGGUGGCGAAGGCGGGUCUCUGGGCCGAUAAUGACGCUGAGGAGCGAAAGCGUGGGGAGCGAACAGG